rnacentral:misc_RNA from 1 species
GAUGAAGAACGUAGCAAAAUGCGAUAAGUAAUGUGAAUUGCAGAAUUCAGUGAAUCAUCGAAUCUUUGAACGCACAUUGCGCCCCCUGGCAUUCCGGGGGGCAUGCCUGUCCGAGCGUCAUUUCUGCCCUCCAGCCCGGCUGGGUGUUGGGCGCUGUCCCCCCGGGGACACGCCCCAAAGGCAGUGGCGGCGCCGCGUCGGGUCCUCGAGCGUAUGGGGCUUUGUCACCCGCUCGGGACGGACUCGUCGGCGCUGGUCUUCCUCCAGGCGACCCUUCGGGGCUCGUCUUCCUUCGGUUGACCUCGGAUCAGGUAGGGUUACCCGCUGAACUUAAGCAUAUCAAUAAGCGGAGGA